UACGUAGGGGGCAAGCGUUAUCCGGAUUUACUGGGUGUAAAGGGAGCGUAGACGGCAUAGCAAGUCCGGAGUGAAAGCCCGGGGCCCAACCCCGGGACUGCUCUGGAAACUGUUAAGCUGGAGUGCGGGAGGGGCAGGCGGAAUUCCUGGUGUAGCGGUGAAAUGCGUAGAUAUCAGGAGGAACACCGGCGGCGAAGGCGGCCUGCUGGACCGUAACUGACGUUGAGGCUCGAAAGCGUGGGGAGCAA
rnacentral:rRNA from 1 species